UUAAGCGACUAAGCGUACACGGUGGAUGCCCUGGCAGUCAGAGGCGAUGAAGGACGUGCUAAUCUGCGAUAAGCGUCGGUAAGGUGAUAUGAACCGUUAUAACCGGCGAUUUCCGAAUGGGGAAACCCAGUGUGUUUCGACACACUAUCAUUAACUGAAUCCAUAGGUUAAUGAGGCGAACCGGGGGAACUGAAACAUCUAAGUACCCCGAGGAAAAGAAAUCAACCGAGAUUCCCCCAGUAGCGGCGAGCGAACGGGGAGGAGCCCAGAGCCUGAAUCAGUGUGUGUGUUAGUGGAAGCGUCUGGAAAGGCGCGCGAUACAGGGUGACAGCCCCGUACACAAAAAUGCACAUAUUGUGAGCUCGAUGAGUAGGGCGGGACACGUGGUAUCCUGUCUGAAUAUGGGGGGACCAUCCUCCAAGGCUAAAUACUCCUGACUGACCGAUAGUGAACCAGUACCGUGAGGGAAAGGCGAAAAGAACCCCGGCGAGGGGAGUGAAAAAGAACCUGAAACCGUGUACGUACAAGCAGUGGGAGCCUCUUUUAUGGGGUGACUGCGUACCUUUUGUAUAAUGGGUCAGCGACUUAUAUUCUGUAGCAAGGUUAACCGAAUAGGGGAGCCGAAGGGAAACCGAGUCUUAACUGGGCGUUAAGUUGCAGGGUAUAGACCCGAAACCCGGUGAUCUAGCCAUGGGCAGGUUGAAGGUUGGGUAACACUAACUGGAGGACCGAACCGACUAAUGUUGAAAAAUUAGCGGAUGACUUGUGGCUGGGGGUGAAAGGCCAAUCAAACCGGGAGAUAGCUGGUUCUCCCCGAAAGCUAUUUAGGUAGCGCCUCGUGAAUUCAUCUCCGGGGGUAGAGCACUGUUUCGGCAAGGGGGUCAUCCCGACUUACCAACCCGAUGCAAACUGCGAAUACCGGAGAAUGUUAUCACGGGAGACACACGGCGGGUGCUAACGUCCGUCGUGAAGAGGGAAACAACCCAGACCGCCAGCUAAGGUCCCAAAGUCAUGGUUAAGUGGGAAACGAUGUGGGAAGGCCCAGACAGCCAGGAUGUUGGCUUAGAAGCAGCCAUCAUUUAAAGAAAGCGUAAUAGCUCACUGGUCGAGUCGGCCUGCGCGGAAGAUGUAACGGGGCUAAACCAUGCACCGAAGCUGCGGCAGCGACACUAUGUGUUGUUGGGUAGGGGAGCGUUCUGUAAGCCUGUGAAGGUGUACUGUGAGGUAUGCUGGAGGUAUCAGAAGUGCGAAUGCUGACAUAAGUAACGAUAAAGCGGGUGAAAAGCCCGCUCGCCGGAAGACCAAGGGUUCCUGUCCAACGUUAAUCGGGGCAGGGUGAGUCGACCCCUAAGGCGAGGCCGAAAGGCGUAGUCGAUGGGAAACAGGUUAAUAUUCCUGUACUUGGUGUUACUGCGAAGGGGGGACGGAGAAGGCUAUGUUGGCCGGGCGACGGUUGUCCCGGUUUAAGCGUGUAGGCUGGUUUUCCAGGCAAAUCCGGAAAAUCAAGGCUGAGGCGUGAUGACGAGGCACUACGGUGCUGAAGCAACAAAUGCCCUGCUUCCAGGAAAAGCCUCUAAGCAUCAGGUAACAUCAAAUCGUACCCCAAACCGACACAGGUGGUCAGGUAGAGAAUACCAAGGCGCUUGAGAGAACUCGGGUGAAGGAACUAGGCAAAAUGGUGCCGUAACUUCGGGAGAAGGCACGCUGAUAUGUAGGUGAAGUCCCUCGCGGAUGGAGCUGAAAUCAGUCGAAGAUACCAGCUGGCUGCAACUGUUUAUUAAAAACACAGCACUGUGCAAACACGAAAGUGGACGUAUACGGUGUGACGCCUGCCCGGUGCCGGAAGGUUAAUUGAUGGGGUCAGCGCAAGCGAAGCUCUUGAUCGAAGCCCCGGUAAACGGCGGCCGUAACUAUAACGGUCCUAAGGUAGCGAAAUUCCUUGUCGGGUAAGUUCCGACCUGCACGAAUGGCGUAAUGAUGGCCAGGCUGUCUCCACCCGAGACUCAGUGAAAUUGAACUCGCUGUGAAGAUGCAGUGUACCCGCGGCAAGACGGAAAGACCCCGUGAACCUUUACUAUAGCUUGACACUGAACAUUGAGCCUUGAUGUGUAGGAUAGGUGGGAGGCUUAGAAGUGUGGACGCCAGUCUGCAUGGAGCCGACCUUGAAAUACCACCCUUUAAUGUUUGAUGUUCUAACGUGGACCCGUGAUCCGGGUUGCGGACAGUGUCUGGUGGGUAGUUUGACUGGGGCGGUCUCCUCCUAAAGAGUAACGGAGGAGCACGAAGGUUGGCUAAUCCUGGUCGGACAUCAGGAGGUUAGUGCAAUGGCAUAAGCCAGCUUGACUGCGAGCGUGACGGCGCGAGCAGGUGCGAAAGCAGGUCAUAGUGAUCCGGUGGUUCUGAAUGGAAGGGCCAUCGCUCAACGGAUAAAAGGUACUCCGGGGAUAACAGGCUGAUACCGCCCAAGAGUUCAUAUCGACGGCGGUGUUUGGCACCUCGAUGUCGGCUCAUCACAUCCUGGGGCUGAAGUAGGUCCCAAGGGUAUGGCUGUUCGCCAUUUAAAGUGGUACGCGAGCUGGGUUUAGAACGUCGUGAGACAGUUCGGUCCCUAUCUGCCGUGGGCGCUGGAGAACUGAGGGGGGCUGCUCCUAGUACGAGAGGACCGGAGUGGACGCAUCACUGGUGUUCGGGUUGUCAUGCCAAUGGCACUGCCCGGUAGCUAAAUGCGGAAGAGAUAAGUGCUGAAAGCAUCUAAGCACGAAACUUGCCCCGAGAUGAGUUCUCCCUGACCCUUUAAGGGUCCUGAAGGAACGUUGAAGACGACGACGUUGAUAGGCCGGGUGUGUAAGCGCAGCGAUGCGUUGAGCUAACCGGUACUAAUGAACCGUGAGGCUUAACCUU
rnacentral:rRNA from 1 species